CCAGACUCCUACGGGAGGCAGCAGUGAGGAAUAUUGGUCAAUGGGCUUACGCCUGAACCAGCCAAGUCGCGUGAGGGAAGACUGCCCUAUGGGUUGUAAACCUCUUUUGUCAGGGAGCAAUUGGCGCUACGUGUAGCGUUAUCGAGAGUACCUGAAGAAAAAGCAUCGGCUAACUCCGUGCCAGCAGCCGCGGUAAUACGGAGGAUGCGAGCGUUAUCCGGAUUUAUUGGGUUUAAAGGGAGCGUAGAUGGGUUGUUAAGUCAGUUGUGAAAGUUUGCGGCUCAACCGUAAAAUUGCAAUUGAUACUGGCAGCCUUGAGUACAGUUGAGGUAGGCGGAAUUCGUGGUGUAGCGGUGAAAUGCUUAGAUAUCACGAAGAACUCCGAUUGCGAAGGCAGCUUACUAAACUGCCACUGACAUUGAUGCUCGAAAGUGUGGGUAUCAAACAGGAUUAGAUACCCCUGUA
rnacentral:rRNA from 1 species